GCUCCUCCCCCCUCCCCUCAGACGGGGCGAGGGCGGCGAUGGCGCGUCCGGCGGAGGUGGCGGCGGGCGCCGCUCCGGCCCCUCCGGCCCCUCGGUCCCCUGGCCGUGGCYGGGGCUGUGAGUAGGGCCCGCACAGACAUGAGGCAUCUAUUAACAAGCUAAAAGUGACAGAACCAUGGCUCAGUUUCCAACACCUUUUGGGGGCAACCUGGAUAUCUGGGCUAUUACUGUGGAGGAGAGAGCGAAACAUGAUCAGCAGUUCCAUAGUCUGAAACCAACAGCUGGAUUUAUCACUGGUGAUCAAGCUAGGAACUUUUUUUUCCAAUCUGGGUUACCUCAGCCAGUGUUAGCACAGAUAUGGUGAGUAUGGGAGGCGUGG